rnacentral:rRNA from 1 species
AUUGAACGCUGGCGGCAGGCCUAACACAUGCAAGUCGGACGGUAGCACAGAGAGCUUGCUCUCGGGUGACGAGUGGCGGACGGGUGAGUAAUGUCUGGGGAUCUGCCCGAUAGAGGGGGAUAACCACUGGAAACGGUGGCUAAUACCGCAUAACGUCGCAAGACCAAAGAGGGGGACCUUCGGGCCUCUCACUACCGGAUGAACCCAGAUGGGAUUAGCUAGUAGGCGGGGUAACGGCCCACCUAGGCGACGAUCCCUAGCUGGUCUGAGAGGAUGACCAGCCACGCUGGAACUGAGACAUGGUCCAGACUCCUACGGGAGGCAGCAGUGGGGAAUAUUGCACAAUGGGCGCAAGCCUGAUGCAGCCAUGCCGCGUGUAUGAAGAAGGCCUUCGGGUUGUAAAGUACUUUCAGCGGGGAGGAAGGCGAUGUGGUUAAUAACCGCAUUGAUUGACGUUACCCGCAGAAGAAGCACCGGCUAACUCCGUGCCAGCCGCCGCCGUAAUAC